GUUUGGGAUAUUUGGUUACCUGUUUUAGUAGUCUUAAUGCAACUAUCGCAAUUCGGUAUGUCUGUACUCCUACCUUCCUGAAAAAUCAUAAAAAUACUAAGACACAUAAUAAUAAAACACAUUAUUCCUGAAAUCCUCAUUUUUCUUCAACCGUGCGAUGGCCUCUCAGCUUCCCGAUUGUGAGGGCUGCAAGGAUGUUGUUCUUCUGAUCCUCACUUUCCUUCACAGAGAUCCCUUCAAGAUACUCUGGCUAUAACACGUAGGCAGGUGGUCAGGCUUUAUUAUGGCCGUCAAAACACCUACUUGAUGAUCUUUGUAAACUUAACUAGAAUGUCUCGAUAUCCCCUCGUCACUCCGACUGAGUUGCACGCUUCAACCGGGUCCUGCAAGGAUUCUCAGGAUCUGGAGUAGCUUGCCAAGAGUCUGCCGCUGAUUUAACCUUAGAAUGAUGAAACCAAGGAGUCACUUCCGCCACCUUUACAGCUGUUGGGGUAGAUAAAAGAACAACAUACAAAGGCUAACAGAAUACACCCCGAGCUUUAACUCAAUAUGUAUUGGUGGGAUAUUACGAGCAAGUCCUGGAGGAUUAUUUUCUUCCCAUACUCCUGGAAUGUCAAGUAAGGAUUCAUCACUCUUAGGGUUAACACUUGUC